ACUUUUUGGCUUUUGACGUUUCCCGACACCUCUAGACAAAGGGUACAGUCAAGGUGACAAGGCAACUCAUUUUUUUCGGUGGUAAGAGAACCUUGAAGCCAGAGGUAAAAGCAAAAGCUUU
ensembl:ncRNA F02G3.5 ncRNA